AGAACACAGGGUUCAACACCAGGAUUGGUCGCAAGUAGGAAGCUUUCGCCUCUACACUGGGACCCUCGGAAGGUGCCGGCGCAGUGCCUGAAGCUGUAGCGUGUGCCGCGCUCAGGUGCUCAGUCAAGAGACCUACACUACUGCUAUGGCAACUCCGGAUCCUUAACUCAAUGUGUGGGGCUGAGGAUCGAACCUGCAUCCCAGUGCUUGAGAGACACUGCUGAUCGAUCUCUGUUGCCUUAUUGAUUUUCUGUCCAGAGGAUCUGUCCAUUGAUGUGAUGUGCAAUUGACCUUGGGAUGCAUAACUUCGUUGGGGGAAUCACUGACAUAUAAUAACUCCACAGCAUGUGGCCCCAAGAACUGCCCUGAAAG
rnacentral:lncRNA from 1 species